rnacentral:rRNA from 1 species
AUUGAACGCUGGCGGCAGGCUUAACACAUGCAAGUCGAGCGGGGUGAUGGUGCUUGCACUAUCACUUAGCGGCGGACGGGUGAGUAAUGCUUAGGAAUCUGCCUAUUAGUGGGGGACAACAUCUCGAAAGGGAUGCUAAUAGCGCAUACGUCCUACGGGAGAAAGCAGGGGAUCACUUGUGACCUUGCGCUAAUAGAUGAGCCUAAGUCGGAUUAGCUAGUUGGUGGGGUAAAGGCCUACCAAGGCGACGAUCUGUAGCGGGUCUGAGAGGAUGAUCCGCAACACUGGGACUGAGACACGGCCCAGACUCCUACGGGAGGCAGCAGUGGGGAAUAUUGGACAAUGGGGGGAACCCUGAUCCAGCCAUGCCGCGUGUGUGAAGAAGGCCAUAUGGUUGUAAAGCACUUUAAGCGAGGAGGAGGCUCUUUUGGUUAAUACCCAAGAUGAGUGGACGUUACUCGCAGAAUAAGCACCGGCUAACUCUGUGCCAGCAGCCGCCGUAA